UAUGGAUUCAUUACAAUCAGGGCAUGGAUAGCCUUCAAGAUGAGUACUUAGAAGGGAUUUUAAUUCCUCGGAACUGGAAAUGCUAGAAAAAUCUAAUUGUUGCUUAGCAGUUUCGAGUUUUAUACACCCGCACAUAGUUGCUGAUUUUGAUAUGGCUCGGUUUAAACGAGCAGAAGCAUCUUGUAAUUUUGUCAUUUGAUCUAGUAUACUUUUAUUGCGUAAAAUUAAGUCAUCUAUAAAGUUCUGAAAUUGUUCAAGUUCAGUAGACUCUAUCAUUUUAAACAUCACUCCUAAACCAUAACGUUGGUGUAUCUUUAGAUAGUAGUAUAGCAUAAAUGGAAAAAUUUUGAAAGUUGUAAAACUAAUAGAUGGAUAAAAAAACCAAAAAAAAAUAUACAAACUUUUAGUGAAUUUAUGUUAUAAUACUACAUUGUACAGUAAGAGGACAGAAUAUAUAAGUAAAGAGGUAUGAUAUGAAACUAAGUUUUAAUUUUGAAGGAACCAAGAUCGAUUAUGACCUAACAUACAAAAAAAGAACUAGCAUUGCUAUUAAUGUAGAUGAAGAUGGUAGUGUUAAAGUGUUAGCUCCUGUAGGUACACCUCUAUUUAGUGUCAUGGAUAAAGUAAAGGGGAAUGCAGAUUGGAUCUUAGGUGAACUUUUACGUAUACAACGUGCAAAAGAAUAUGCAAAUCACUGUAUGUAUUUAGGUAAAAACUAUGGAAUUGAAUUUGUAGAAGAUGAAACAAAGGAAAAUCCUGUUGUUAAAUUAGUAAGAGGAAAAUUUGUUGUUGAAGGACAAAAUAUUACUAAAGAAACAAUGAUGUUGCCUUUAUGUGAAUGGUACAUAACAAAAACAAUGAGUAAACUUAAAGAACGCGUAAAAGUUUAUAAUGAGCAAUUUGAAAAAAUGCCAAAGAAAGUUGAUGUGAAAAUACUUCAAAAUAGACUUUGGUAUAUAGACGAAGAUCAAAUCAUUUUCGAUGUGAAUAUUGGAGUAGGCCCUGUGAAUUUAAUUGACAGUGUUUUAGUAGAAGCACUUUGUAGAUUUAAUGGAAUCGAAGAUAGUAAUAGUGUUUUAGCUAAAAUGGUACCUGAAUCAGAACAAGCAAGAGAAUGGGUAAAUAUAAAUAAAGAUCGUUUUAUCUUUAGAUAAUGCUUUCGAGUAUUAUCUUUUUUCUAUAAAUUCUAUAAUGGAUAUAACUUAUAGAAAAAAGAUAAAUAGAUAUUAAGAAGAAGUUUCAUGUGUAUAAAUAAUAUAGCAUGUAACUUCUUUUUUUAUACUAAGAAAGUUGAGAAUUUACAGGAAAAAUAUAGGAAAGUUUGAUUUAAAAAAGACGACAAAAAAAUGCAGAAAAACUGUUGACAUACAUAUGCACUUUUAGUAUACUUCAUAGAGUCAGCGGCGGGCGUAAAGCACUGACACAAAUAGAAUAUCCCAUUUUGGGGGCGUAGCUCAGCUGGGAGAGCACCUGCCUUGCACGCAGGGGGUCAAGGGUUCGAACCCCUUCGUCUCCAUUGUCCAUAAUUGGACAACAUUGUACUUUGAAAACUAAACAUAAUCAAAUAAUAGAUUUGAAAGAAAUUUUGAAUCUACAAUUUAACCGAUAACGAAGUUCUUAAUUUAUUGAACGUUAGUGAAAAUAAAUUUUAGAAAUUCGAAAUACUAAUAUUACAGAUUGUUAGUUUCGUAGAAACGUUACAAGAUGUUAUAUGAGUGAAAUUAAUACUUAUUCUGUUAUAUUUAACAAGAACAAGGCAAAUAUUCAAUGACACAAUCAUUGUAUAUAGGUCAAGCUACUAAGAGCGUAGAGUGGAUGCCUUGGCACCGAGAGCCGAUGAAGGACGUGAUAAGCUGCGAAAAGCUACGGGGAGUUGCAAAUAAACUUUGAUCCGUAGAUGUCCGAAUGGGGAAACCCGGCUGAGCAAACCUCAGUCAUCAUACAGCCAAUANACCAGUGAAGAUGCUGGUUACCCGCGACAGGACGGAAAGACCCCGUGGAGCUUUACUGUAACUUGAUACUGAGGUUGGGUAUUACAUGUACAGGAUAGGAGGGAGGCUAAGAAGUGUGGACGCCAGUCUGCAUGGAGCCGCCGGUGGGAUACCUCUCUUGUAAUACUUAACUUCUAACCAUAGCCCGUGAUCCGGGUUUGGGACAAUGUCAGGUGGACAGUUUGACUGGGGCGGUCGCCUCCGAAAGAGUAACGGAGGCGCUCAAAGGUAACCUCAGAAUGGUCGGAAACCAUUCGUAGAGUGCAAAGGCAGAAGGUUGCUUGACUGCGACACCGACGGGUGGAGCAGGUACGAAAGUAGGACUUAGUGAUCCGGUGGUAUGAAAGUGGGAUUGCCAUCGCUCAACGGAUAAAAGCUACCCCGGGGAUAACAGGCUUAUCUCCCCCAAGAGUUCACAUCGACGGGGAGGUUUGGCACCUCGAUGUCGGCUCAUCGCAUCCUGGAGCUGAAGCAGGUUCCAAGGGUUGGGCUGUUCGCCCAUUAAAGCGGUACGCGAGCUGGGUUCAGAACGUCGUGAGACAGUUCGGUCCCUAUCCGUCGUGGGCGUAGGAAGUUUGAGAGGCGUUGUCCUUAGUACGAGAGGACCGGGAUGAACAGACCGCUGGUGCAUCUGUUAGGCUGCCAAGCCUAUAGCAGAGUAGCUAAGUCUGGAGCUGAUAAACGCUGAAGGCAUCUAAGCGUGAAACAGACCUCAAGAUAAGACUUCCCAUCCAGAAAUGGAGUAAGACCCCUUGUAGACUACGAGGUAGAUAGGUUGGAGGUGUAAGCAUGGUAACAUGUGUAGCUGACCAAUACUAACGGUUCGAGGGUUUGACCU
rnacentral:tRNA from 1 species